GAAUUUUAUAAAUUAAAAAUAAAAAAAUUUAGAGAUUUAAAAAAAUUUUAUAUUUAUUUAGUUGGGGGGAUUGUUAAAUUAAAUAAACUUUAAUUAUAAAUAAAAGUCAUAUAUUAAUGAUAAUAAAGAAUAAUAUAUAAAUUAAAUAAGAAUUAAUUACCUUAGGGAUAACAGCGUAAUAUUAUUGGAGAGAUCUUAUUGAUAAUAAUGAUUGC
rnacentral:rRNA from 1 species